CUCCAAGCUAUAAAUAUGGAAGGACACAUCUAGAGACCAGAAUUAGCGAAGAAUAUGCUGAGGGACGAUACACUAGUAAAUAUCCAAAACACAGAUACGCGAUGCAUGGAACCAUGGAGCGAGAUGCAUACCGCAGGAUCAAGUAUGGACAUUCAUACCAGGAGAGAGCACAUAGAACUUGCCCAGAUUGUAAGUUGUGUGGUCAAAAUUACAAUUACCCCAAUGGUGAGGAAUUUUCUGCAAUCAGCGGUUGUCAGGAGGCAUACUACCAGACAGACCGUGAUCUGAUUCCUUCAACUUCUCAAGUAGCAUCUCAUUGCGAGGGUUCUUGCUGCAAGGUGGGUAUAAAUAAGCAUUAGAUACUAUUGGCAGAAGUUCACAUAAACAGAUCGAGGCAGUUAUGCAGUCAACUUCAAAAGGCAAGGUUUAGACCAUUCGUCAAGGUUAUCUUUCGAAAAGAUCUUCAAACUUGAGAGCCGACUGGAAAAGAAGGUUCUUUGUACUUGAUAGUCGAGGAAUGUUGUACUACUAUCGGAAACAAAUUACUAGACCACCUGCUGGUUGCUCCAUGCAAAGAAGUGUUAACCCCCCUGAACAUGGUUCUGGGUUGUUGAGCAGAUUGUUCUCAUCUCAUUACCAUGGCAUUUUUCAUGAUGAAAAGUCUGUUGCACGACAUACUGUAAAUUUAUUGACAUCAACCAUUAAAGUUUGCUUAAACACAUGCAUCUUAUUUCAGGUUAGAUCUCUGACACUUGAUGUCAGAGUUUGGGAGCCAUCUGUAAUCAAUCUCUUUCAGUUAUUAGUCUACAUGUUUGUCAACAGUAUUUGGGAAGAGACGCUGCCAGAUGAUAAUUCAAGUGCUGAUGGAUCAGACACAUCACAGUACCUCUCUGUUAGCAAGCCUAAACACAAAGAUGUGAAAAGACUGUAUUCUUGUUUAUGCACACCACACACUUUUUAUGAUGUUUGCUACACCUUCCAUUCUAAACUGAACUAAUUCAUAUCUUACAUAAAAGAUCAGAUGGAGUACAAAACUUUUUUUUAAAAAAACUUCUCUGUUUAUAGAAGAGGCACUGCACAUAGUAUAUUAGUGUGCCAUGGGUUACUGGAGGAUGUAAUCUUAAUCUAGUGUUGCAAUAGAAACCCUCUUGAAGUCCACACUGGUUUUUAGUUAUACAUGUCUAGUUCUCGUAGUUGAAGAUAACUUUACAGAGUUAUGUGCGCACUUUAGCUUAAACCUAUGCUAGGGUUUGUUGUGUGUAUUUGCUCUGUUUGAACUGCGCUUUAGUCAUUAAUACUAUGUUUUGUGAGGGCACCGGGCUUUUAAUUUUCAUUCAUAACUCAUAGCAUUUUUUCUGAUGCUUAUGUUUGCUUCACCUGUGUCUAAUGAUUGAAGGCAAUAUCUAGUCAUUCGAGUUUCAAUAUGAUGUCUGAGCUGUCCCUUUCUUUUGUAAAAUUUACUUGUUAUUGUUAAUGUUCAUAAUGCUGAAAUAAGAUGUGAAAAGACUGUAUUCUUGUUUGAGCAUCAUAAUUAUUACUUGGCUAUGGCUUCCAGCCCCACCCUGGCCAAGCGGUUGGGGCAACAUUUUUGUUGAUGACAGGCAAGUUUUAGGAUCUCAACAAAUGGUUCAUGUAUCUGUGACAUUUGUUUCAUGUAAAUUUCAGUUCUUCCAUCUUAUUACUUGUAUAUACCUCAGCAUUGUUUUCUUCGACUGUAUUGACAACAAUGUGUGUUAUACCAUCUUCAAGGAUGUCUGUUGUGCAAAGCCAUAGCCCAUAAGGCCAAAGUUGCCAUGUCUAUAUACUUUUCCUUUGAUGUCACUCUUACUUAUCUUCUGUUGUUUUCAACUCCUAGGACAGUAGAAGCGUGGGCAUCCAAAUGAAUAAUCUCCAACAUAUUCAGCUUUUAACACAGGAUGGCUGCAAGCUUAUGUAUAACAUGAUUGCUUCCUACAACCGCAUUUUGCAUAUAUUAUUACUUGUCGUGGAGAGCUGACUUCCCUAAUGAAUAAUAUUUUG